rnacentral:rRNA from 1 species
AUUGAACGCUGGCGGCAUGCCUUACACAUGCAAGUCGAACGGCAGCGCGGACUUCGGUCUGGCGGCGAGUGGCGAACGGGUGAGUAAUACAUCGGAACGUACCCUGUUGUGGGGGAUAACUAGUCGAAAGAUUAGCUAAUACCGCAUACGACCUGAGGGUGAAAGUGGGGGACCGCAAGGCCUCACGCAGCAGGAGCGGCCGAUGUCUGAUUAGCUAGUUGGUGGGGUAAAGGCCCACCAAGGCGACGAUCAGUAGCUGGUCUGAGAGGACGAUCAGCCACACUGGGACUGAGAUACGGCCCAGACUCCUACGGGAGGCAGCAGUGGGGAAUUUUGGACAAUGGGGGCAACCCUGAUCCAGCAAUGCCGCGUGUGUGAAGAAGGCCUUCGGGUUGUAAAGCACUUUUGUCCGGAAAGAAAUCGCGCUGGUUAAUACCUGGCGUGGAUGACGGUACCGGAAGAAUAAGCACCAGCUAACUACGUGCCAGCAGCCGCCGUAA